UCACCCUCUCAGGUCGGCUAUGCAUCGUUGCCUUGGUAAGCCGUUACCUUACCAACUAGCUAAUGCAGCGCGGAUCCAUCUAUAAGUGACAGCAAGACCGUCUUUCACUUUUGAACCAUGCGGUUCAAAAUAUUAUCCGGUAUUAGCUCCGGUUUCCCGAAGUUAUCCCAGUCUUAUAGGUAGGUUAUCCACGUGUUACUCACCCGUCCGCCGCUAACAUCAGAGAAGCAAGCUUCUCGUCCGUUCGCUCGACUUGCAUGUAUUAGGCACGCCGCCAGCGUUCAUCCUGAGCCAUGAUC
rnacentral:rRNA from 1 species